rnacentral:tRNA from 1 species
GGGGAUUUAGCUCAGCGGCAUAAGCACCUGCCUUGCAAGCAGGAGGGAGUGAGUUCAAUCCCCA